GUGUCAGCCGCCGCGGUAAUACAGAGGUCUCAAGCGUUGUUCGGAUUCAUUGGGCGUAAAGGGUGCGUAGGCGGCGUCGUAAGUCGGGUGUGAAAUCUCGGGGCUUAACUCCGAAAUUGCAUUCGAUACUGCGGUGCUUGAGGACUGGAGAGGAGACUGGAAUUCACGGUGUAGCAGUGAAAUGCGUAGAUAUCGUGAGGAAGACCGGUGGCGAAGGCGGGUCUCUGGACAGUUCCUGACGCUGAGGCACGAAGGCCAGGGGAGCAAACGGGAUUAGAAACCCGAGUAGUCC
rnacentral:rRNA from 1 species